CGAGCUCCGGUUCUGGAACCGAACUUCAGGUGAAGAACCUCAGAGUCCAAAACCAUCAGAGAUCUUCUCACCAAGACGCCUGGAGCAGCCUCCAGCCCAUACAUGAUGCAGGAAAUCAUCCCAAACUCCGGUCAGAAAGACCAGAAAUUACUUUUAACAACGGCUGAACUUCAUAAACAGACAAUGUUCCGACCCGACCCCGGGGGAAACGGGGAAACAGUCGGAACCAGAACCUUCGGGUUUGGACUCGCAUGUGUGGGAAUAAUUCCAGGUAUUAAUUUAGAGGAGAAAGAAUUUGAGGUGAAACAGCCUGGUCACCUGCGGACACCUGCUGCCCCCAUUAAGGCCAAAAACAGCCGCAAACUGGGAGAAAACGUCCAGAAACAUCCAAAAUUAAUCUUUACCACAGCAGCGGUCAAUACAGUAACCAACCGAUACGAAAACCACAGAAUUAACCCAGAAAAACCACCGUGUCCGCCACUCACCGCCUGUUCAUCGGCCUGACCCGCACAGCCACCCGGACAGACGCCAUCUUUCAUCCCGCUGCAGCGCGCGCUCUCCCGGCCACUCAGCCUCCGGCUUCCCGCUCCUCUUUAUGGCAGCAGCCGCAGCAGCAGCUAGCUCCUGGCUAACAGAGCAGGGGGCAAAGGUCCGGAGAUAACCGGCGGUCUGAGGGCCAAACUCCGUUGAUAGCAAUGGGGGAGGAGGCGACGAAUUCUUGCCUGGAUAAAUGUUAUUGGAGCCGGGGAGCACCGAGUCACAGCCGCGGCAUGAACCGGAUCAUGUCCCGGAUCCUGGUCAUCGACAGGACCGCUAGCUUAACGUGACCGGCUGCUUCAUCAGCUGAUU